ACCCCUGUAGCACAAUAGAUAUUGCGUUGAACUUCUAAUUCAAAGGUUGUGGGUUAGAAUCCCAACUGGGAUG